rnacentral:lncRNA from 1 species
AUGUUGUUGGUGAAACAGCAUCUAGUCCAGAAUCCAGUAGGACUCUGGAAACUUUUAGGAGGCGCGGACUAUUUUAAGACCCCGAGGAGGCAGCAGAAGGCUCCCGGUGGUGAUAAACCGCAGGGGAGGCCCUCGGAAGACGAUGAAGGUACAGCCCCCGGUGUUCUUAUAGGACCGCUGCCUUGCUCGUCGGCACGCGAGUGCGCUAGUCUGGGGACCGGGGAGCCCAGCCUGGAACGGCGCCCUGACCACACCUGCCCCCACCUCCAGUGCCACUCCGGGGUCCUCCCUGCCCUCCAUCAGGGGCACCUUCAUCGGCACGCCUGUCCCUUGUCCCAGUGAGCAUCUCUGAAAGCAGGUGGGGCUUCUGUCCCCAGACCUGCCCUGAGUGAGUGGAGGGCUCUGCAGGGAGGAAGGCUCAGGGCUCAGGGCUGAACCUCCUCCUGGGUGCAGACCUGUUGAGCGUUGCCGCUGCAUCCUCGCUUGGGGCGCUGACUGGCCCAGGGCAUGUCCCCGAGGGAGGAGCGGCCAAAUCAGUCUGAAGAGAGACUUCUGUGUGCCCUGGCCCAGCCCUGGUGCCCUUCACCUGCCAGGCUUAAGUCGCAUGUCUAUUCUGGAAUUAGCACUAUUUGGGAAUUACUAUUUUUUAUUUUAUCUUAUUUUACUUUAUCUUUUUAGGGCUGUACCUGCAGCAUAUGGAAGUUCCCAGACUCGGGGUCACAUUGGAGCUGCAGCUGCUAGCCUACACCACAACCACAGUAACGCCGGAUCCGAGCUGCAUCUGGGACCUACACCACAGCUCAAGGAAACACUGGAUCCUUAACCCACUGAGCGAGGCCAGGGGUGGAACCCACAUCCUCUUGGAUACUAGCUGGGGUGGUUUCCGCUGCACCACAGCUGGAACUUCUCCACGGUCCACUCUCUGGGGAUACUGUUUUCUGUGAUGAGUCACAGACACCUCACUGGAAUGUUGCGGGGUGGCAGAUGGGGGAGGAGAGUCCCACGACCUGUGGGUGUGCAGGGAUUACUCGAUUACUUGCCC